rnacentral:lncRNA from 1 species
UAACUAGGACUUGGCAGCUGUUAGGACCUGUUCCAAGUUGGACACACUCAGGAAGCACUGGGUGGAGAGACAUAUAAUAGGAUCUCAGAAGAGAGAGCAGAUACUGGAUCUUUAGCAUCAAUCUACCACUUGAUCUCCUCAUUCAUGAACCCUCACACUCCAGAACAGUGUCUUGAAAGCAACAUCCAGCUCUUGCUCCUGCAGUUCAAAAGGAAGAUGAUAAACUUGUUACACCUAAGAUGGGAACUGUGUCAAGGAGAAUUUACCUAUAGUCUUAUCAGAGCAAACAGAUAUUCUAGAGUCAGAGCUUCUAGAUUAAGCACAAGAUGAAAAUUAGGGUAAUGAAAGCCAAAGACAGACAGUACUGAUAGAAAGGAAUUUAAUCAGGAGAAAGAGCCCAUGUGUAUGUAAGGUUGGAUCUAGAGACUAAAUCAUGACCUUUUUAAAAGCAGAGAAUCUGUCCCAAUCUCCUCCUUAAUACACAGAGGUAAGAUACUGAGUUUUGAAUGUAUACAGUCAUUCUAGUUUCUUCUGGCUAUUCUAAUAAACUGCUAAUAGUGGAUAUUUUCCUUUGAAAUAAAUAUAUGUUCAAACCUCCUACAUCAUUUCAGUAAUUUCUGGCACCAAGGUAAGCAGAUGAUGAAGAAAAUUUUUGGUAAACAAGACUGCUUCUCUUCCUUAAAAAUCACAUCUAUGAUAUAGGUAUCCACGUCCAUAGGUUGAGUAACCCAAUCAGACACCCCUGUACUAUUCAAUCCAUGUAGGUUGAGAUGGGAGCGGUCAAGAGGAGAGUAUGUAGUAAAUGUGAUACAAUGUUAAUUUAAAACCACACUAAAUAAAUUGAUUUACUAAUAUAAGAACUAGAAAUUCACAUAAACCACAUGAGAAUUGUCUUUUCUCCUGGUUCUUUUUUCACCUGACCAAGGGCUGCUUUAUUCCCUAAAUGACACUCAGUUAAUAAUGAACAUCAGAAGUUGUUUGAAAAAAUGAUCCUACUUACAAAAAUGAUAAGCAAAUUAAUCUAUUCAGCUGUAUGAUUCCACCUACAUAAAUUGCUGGCUCCAGAUAAACAAAAUACAAAAUACAAUCAUCAUCCCUUUGGGUCCGGAAUUGGAUCCUUCCGGUGGGUUCUUGGCCUCGCUGACUUCAAGAAUGAAGCCAUGCACCCUUGUGGUGAGUGUUACAGUUCUUAAAGACGGUGUGUCCCAGAGUUUGUUCCUUCAGAUGUUCAGAUGUGUCCCACGUUUCUUCCUUCCGGUGGGUUUGUGGUCUCGCUUGACUUCAGGAGUAAAGCCGCAGACCUUCGCAGUGAGUGUUACAGCUCUUAAAGGUGGCGCAUCUGGAGUUGUCUGUUCCUCCUGGUGGGUUCGUGGUCUGGCUGACUUCAGGAGUGAGGCCGCAGAUCUUCACAGUGAGUGUUACAGCUCUUAAAGGUGGCGCCUCUGGAGUUGUCUGUUCCUCCCGGGUGGGUUUGUGGUCUCACUGACUUCAGUAAUGAAGCUACAGACCCUAGCAGUGAGUGUUACAGCUCAUAAAGGUAGUGCAGAUCCAAAGAGUGAGCAGCAGCAAGAUUUCUUAUGAAGAGCUAAAGAACAAAACCACCACACCCUGAAAGAAUACGCAAUCGAGAUGCGCUGCUGAUUCAGGUGGCCAGCUUUUAUUCCCUUAUUUGGCCCCAUCCACAUCCUGCUGGUUGGUCUGUUUUACAGAGCACUGAUUGGUCUAUUUUACAGAGUGCUGAUUGGUCCGUUUUUACAGAGUGCUGAUUGGUGUGUUUACAAACCUUUAGCUAGACACAGCACGCUGAUUGGUGCAUUUUUACAGAGUGCUAAUUGGUGCAUUUAUAAAUGUUUAGCUAGACACAGAGGGCUGAUUGGUAUGUUCACAAUCCUUUAGCCAGACAAAAAAGUUCUCCAAGUUCCCUGCAGACCCAGAAGCCCAGCCGGCUUCACCUCUCACCUUUAAUGUUUCAUCUGAUUUGCAUGUCCAAAAUAAUGUGUUCCUUUGAAACAACACAUUUCAAGAGCAAGCAAUAAUCCAAAACUGUUAUAUCUGAUAAAAUCAAAACAGAAACAAAAAAGAACAUCAUUAUUACUAGUCUACUCUGUAUAUGUACUUUUCAUUUUUAUUUUAUUUUUUAUUUAUUUAUUUAUUUUUGAGACAGAGUCUUGCUCAGUUGCCCAGGCUGGAGUGCAAUGGCAUGAUCUCAGCUCACUGCAACCUCCGCCUCCUGGGUUCAUGCCAUUCUCCUGCCUCAGCCUCCUGAGUAGCUAGGACUACAGACGCCUGCCACGAUGCCCGGGUAAUUUUUUUUUUUUUUUUUUUUUUUGUAUUUUUAGUAGAGAUGGGGUUUCACCAUGUUAGUCAGGAUGGUCUCGAUCUCCUGACCUCGUGAUCCACCCACCUCAGCCUCCCAAAGUGCUGGGAUUACAGGUGUGAGCCACUGCACCCAGCCUGUACUUUUUAUUUAAACGAGGAAUGCAUGCACAACUUAUAUAUCACAGAACAUGCCCUGUGCAAUAGCUUCAACUCCUGAAAUAUGCUCUCAACUCCUGAAAUAUGCUCUCUUUGGGUCCUUAGAAGUGGCUUAUCAGAAAGUAUUAGGAUGAGAAAUGGCACUUACUCACUAAUAUGUUAGUUUGGUUCAGACAUAGUACAUUUCAGGAGUUUAGAUUUGUCCCAAACUCGGUGAGAAAGGCAAGCCCUGGACAAGUCCUGUUGUACCUUCUUUCUAUGUUACAUCAUAACCACAAACAUUUUCACACACAAUAUUUUUACACAGAAAAAGAUAAAAGUCAACAUUUUAGAGUGCUUAUUGUGUUUGUGGAAGGUAGAAAAGUAUCACCAUCAAAUUGUACAGUUUUUUCUUUUUGGAAGUUAUUACCUCAGCCCAGCAAAAAUUUCACUUUCUCCCCACCCAAUUACCUCCCCAAGUCACUGCCAAACUCCUGG